rnacentral:rRNA from 1 species
AUUGGGUAGGGGAGCGUUCUGUAAGCGGUUGAAGGUGUGUGGUAACGCAUGCUGGACGUAUCAGAAGUGCGAAUGCUGACAUGAGUAACGAUAAAGGGGGUGAAAAACCUCCUCGCCGGAAGACCAAGGGUUCCUGUCCAACGUUAAUCGGGGCAGGGUAAGUCGACCCCUAAGGCGAGGCCGAAAGGCGUAGUCGAUGGGAAACGGGUUAAUAUUCCCGUACUUCUUACAAUUGCGAUGGGGGGACGGAGAAGGCUAGGUGGGCCUGGCGACGGUUGUCCAGGUUCAAGUGCGUAGGCUUAAGAGUUAGGUAAAUCCGGCUCUUUUUAAGGCUGAGACACGACGUCGAGCUACUACGGUAGUGAAGUCAUUGAUGCCAUGCUUCCAGGAAAAGCCUCUAAGCUUCAGAUUGUAAGGAAUCGUACCCCAAACCGACACAGGUGGUCGGGUAGAGAAUACCAAGGCGCUUGAGAGAACUCGGGUGAAGGAACUAGGCAAAAUGGUACCGUAACUUCGGGAGAAGGUACGCUCU